AUUGAACGCUGGCGGCAUGCUUUACACAUGCAAGUCGAACGGUAACAGGGUGCUUGCACCGCUGACGAGUGGCGAACGGGUGAGUAAUGCGUCGGAACGUGCCGAGUAGUGGGGGAUAACGCAGCGAAAGUUGUGCUAAUACCGCAUACGUACUGAGGUAGAAAGUGGGGGACCUUCGGGCCUCACGCUAUUCGAGCGGCCGACGUCGGAUUAGCUAGUAGGUGAGGUAAAGGCUCACCUAGGCGACGAUCAGUAGCGGGUCUGAGAGGAUGAUCCGCCACACUGGGAGUGAGACACGGGCGAGACUCCUACGGGAGGCAGCAGUGGGGAAUUUUGGACAAUGGGCGAAAGCCUGAUCCAGCCAUGCCGCGUGUCUGAAGAAGGCCUUCGGGUUGUAAAGGACUUUUGUCAGGGAGGAAAUCCCUAGUGCUAAUAACACUGGGGGAUGACAGUACCUGAAGAAUAAGCACCGGCUAACUACGUGCCAGCCGCCGCAGUAA
rnacentral:rRNA from 1 species